UGCCUGUGGAGGUCAGAAGAGGGCAUAGGAGCUCCUGGAACUGAAGUUACAGGCAGUUUUGAGCCAUCCUAUGUGAUUUUGGUGGUUCUGGACAAUAAACCCAGGGCCUCCCAAAGGCAGGCAGCUAAAAAUUUUGCCGCCAUAGUCCUUCCCAGCCCCAAGUAUGCCUUCUUUUAGAUGCAAAGUCCUAGCUGACCUUUUCAUUUUCUGCUGUGUUUUCUUUCAUGCAAGAGAAAAUGAACUGAAACAAGAUUGGGAAACUUUCUGAGAUAGAAUAGAUUGGAUAUAAAAUAGAAAUAAGGGAAAUGCAAAGACCUCCAGGAGACUAAGUAAAGAAAUUCUCUGUGGUUAUCACGGCUGCUGGGAAACUGCUGGGGUUAUCAGCAAAGGGUAUGGCCUGGGAGGCAAAGAGAGACCCACAAAGGGAAUGACUGCACUUGAUCUGCUUUAAUAAACAUCUUUCACAUUUUAUUAUUCCAGACAUCUGCUAGGCUGGUACCACUGGGACAGAAUUAUCAUUGCUCAUACUUGGUGAAUUUUGUUACUAGUUAAGGAGGCCUCGCUGGAUACCUCCAAUUCUUCACUCCAAGCUUCAGCCAACAUACCAUUCACAGAUCAUUUGGAGGAAAAAUCCCUGUUGUUGCUGAGAGUCUAGUGAUGCCAUAUGCUGCUGAUGUCUGUGGAGGCCAGAAGAGGACAUUAGAUCUUUUAGAGCUAGAGCUCUAGGUGGUUGUAAGCUGCCUGAUGUGGAUGCUGGAACCAAAUUCUGGUUCCCUACAAAAGAAUAACGUAUCUUCAGAAGUGAUUUUUUCCCCUGAAAGAUGAAGAAUGUUUGUGUUUUCAAGAAAACUUCUACAGAAGUUCCAGUCAGAAAUGGUGAUGGAUAAUCCUCUCUCAUAUCUUUGAAAAAACAGAAUGAGCUACAUAAAAGAGAGGGAAAUAGUUGACUGGCAACACCCAUGAUCUACUACUGAAAGAUGCUGUUACGACAGAUGACAUUGAUAGCUAUGAUUUUUAGAGAGAGAUUUGCUACAAUCUGAAAAAAUCAGUUGGGAUGUGGCUUCUGCAGCAGUUGACUCGGAGAAUAAUUUCCUGGAAUAAUAGCCCAGUUACUAUUGUUUAGUACACCUUACAGCUGGGCGCCUUUUAUUGCACCUUGGGAGAAAGAUACAAAUGACAAGUGUGAAGAUUGGCUUCUUUCUGCUGGUUGGUUUAUAGACAUUAAGCUCUGCAUCUGGCCGCAUCUUGUAAUCACACAGCAUUGUUGCUUAGCGUCGUGGGACCCUAUUCUUCAAGAAACUGUAGUGAUGCUCGUUAUGCACUGCUUUAGAAGACAAGAAAAUCUGUGCUCUAGAGGAAGUUCUACCUCCUAUCACUCAAUACAAACAAGGAGGCUCCCACCAGGAUGGCCCAUGAAGCUCUGCUUACAGCAUUCUAGGACUCCUCUGGCCUCCAGGCCCACACUCUUCCACAUUCCUCCUGAAAACCCAUUCGAAAGGCCUACAAGUCACACCGUCAAGCUUAUCACAGCAAAACUCUUCAUACCAAUUUUCUGUGUUGCUCACUGUUCUCACUGCUGUGACCAAAGAAGGGACUGAAGGGAGGAAGGCUUUGUUUCGGCUUAUAGUUUAAGAAGAAUGCAGGCCAUCCUGAUAGGGAAAUCAUCACCAUAGGCAUAGGAGGUGAAAGGUAUUUGCACCCCAUAAGCCUCUCUGCCGACACAGAAAUCCAAAUCAAAUCAAAUCAGACCGAAUUAGAAAAAGCCCUGGUUUAACAGGUAAAAUGUUCCCCGGGUGAUUCUCCAGCCCCCCCAGAGAGGAGACAAGGACAAGAGAUAGGAAAAACCAUGUGUCUGUUUUCUGGGAUACAGCUUAAAUACUGUGGGAGUGGUCUUGAGAAUCUCUGGUGGGCUUUGAGGGGGCGGGAUGGGGAGGGGAGUUGACGAGGACCUUCCAUCAGAACAUUCCAGACUCUUUGGGUAUAUGGAUGCCAGGGUGCCAGGGGCUGAGGUGGAGCUUCCACCAGAACAGGAGGUUGUUGGCCAUGUCGAGUCCCUAGGAAGCAGAGAGCAGACAGGAAGUGAAGCUAGACUCACCUCCUGUGACUCAAGGCCUCCAGUGAGAUUCCAGCUCUUGCAGUUUCCACAUCCUUCCAAACAGCGCCACCAGCUGGGGACCAAGUGCACAAGCACACGAGCUCUGGGGUACAUUUUACACUCACAAGUGGCCUUCGCAGCACAGUUUGGGACAGUGGGAAGUGGAAAGGCCAAAUGUGUUAGGUUCCUACUCUUUAACACAGAGACGCAACAGACUAAAUGUGCUUGUAGCAAAACAUUUGCAUCUUAAAAAGCAGUCCUGGAUGGGAAAAGAAACAGAUUGGGUUUAUAAAAGUUACAUUUGCAUGGAGUUGUUAAAGCUAGAGCAAAAACUAUACAUUCCACAAAAACUCAGAGGAGCCGAGGGAUGUGGUCAUACUGGUUAUUUUGUGGGCCCAGGGGGAAUAAGCACUUUACAUGAGACAGAAUGGGCAUGGUCUUGGCUGGACCAAAGAAGCUAAUGAACACUGAGAAAUAUGAUGGAGUCAGCUUUGGAACCUGAAUUUAGAAAGUAAGAAUUCUUCCAAACUACAUGGAACUGAGGAAUUUUUUUAUGUACUCAAAAAAGAAAUAUUCAAAUGAGAGCUUUCUUCGGAAAGUGGUAUUUAUUUAUUUAUGCCCCUCCCAUCUCUUUGAAGUUCCAUAAAGCACUUGAGGCUGCUUAAAUAAGUAUCUGAAAUUGGACGACAUUAAUACUAAAAUAUUUAGACAAAGAAGCAGAACCACAUGGAUAUGGAACUAUGGCAUCUGAGGCAAAGGCAGUGUGAUGUGAAGCUAACGUCUAAAACCCACACCAGAUGGACCUGUAGACACGCCAGAGACGGGUUUCAGAUUUGGCAGUGAACUGGCCAGCAGGCACUACCCAAAAGGAGGUGCCCUCACACACAGGAUCUGUGUUGUUGAGAGGAAGAACCACGCAGCAACUUGCAAAUCCUGAAAAGCAGGGCACGUUUCCCAUUGGGAAGCCAGAGAGGUUUGCCUCCGCGCUCUGUAAGGAGGGCAGCGUGUGAUGGAACACUGACCCAGAGAACUCCUUUCUUAGGAGGAUUUAUUCCAAAAGCCGUGUCGAAAAGCAGAAUGUUAAUUUGCUUUAAUGGAGUUUAGGUUCCUUGAUUUCCAUGGAACAGCCAGAUCUCAGCUUCAGAUCACCCCAGGACAUAUUCCCUGGUGUCCAUAGCUCAACAGCCUUCAGUCCCAGCUCUGGCACUGGGUUAGGAACCACAAGGCCCAGAGAUCACCGGUCAUUAGAGCUCUGGCUAAUAAGAACAUAGAGAAGAGUUCUUUUUCCAGAUUCUGGGACAGCCACUGUCUCUGGGCUCCUGAAGAGUGGGUGAGAGAUAAAGAGACUUCUCCUAUCUUUCUGAAACAAUUUCAGCUGCCAUUAAACUUUUAUCAACUGUAAGUCAAGCAUAGUAAUUGUUGUAGAGUUUAUAGAAGGCAAAUCGGUUGUGGGGGGACAGGGGUCCCUGUGUAGUAGCAGACAUGUACAAAAGGAGUCCACUCUGAGAAAUGAGCUUCAGAUGCACGCUUGGAGUGUAUUAGAGAGACAGAGAGAGAGACAGAGAGACAGAGAGAGACAGAGACAGAGACAUAGACAGACAGAGACAGACAGACACAGACAGAGACAGACAGACACAGACACAGAUAGAGACAUAGACAGAGAGCAGAGAAAGAAUCUGUGGCAUUCUGGUUUACUCUGGGUUUGGGACCAAUAGAGUUCAUCAAGCUAUUUUGAAGCCUGGUAUAAAUAACCCCUGAGCACAUCCAAUUAUACUUGAUUUCAUAUUCACCAAGCAACUCCUGCUUAUUAAUUCAAUUUCCAAGAGCCUGAGAAAGGGAAGUGUGGUAGAUGUAUGCCAAGGCAGCUGUAAUUAUUCCCUCCCUGUCACUGGGCUUCAUGCAGUUGACUUUGAGAUUCAUCUCUUCAAUGCAUACAGCCCAGUUCCGUACAUCUCCCUGGGCUGGCCUAGUGUUAUGCUGUGGUCAGUGGAAUCUGCUGGAAGGGCCAGUGUGCCAGUGUUGAGCCUAGGUCUGAAGAGGCCCUGCACAUGCCCUCCUCCCUCUCCCCCGCGUUCACUGAACCAUAUGCAACCACCAUGGGAUGAACGUGGGCCAACCUGUGUAAUGAUGAGGAAGAAGGUCUAUUUGUUGUUUGCUGGCAGGGUGACAGAAAUGAAGCCAUGUGGUUUUUCAAAAACACUCCUGCAUUUCCAGCUUACCUGUGAGAAGGACCUAGAAGAGACUUAAAGAUUCCAGCACAAAGAAAUGAGAACUGUUGGAGGAGAAGGAAACGCUGAGUACUCCAAUUUGAUCCUUCCACCUGAACUAGCUAGUUUGCACUGUCAACUUGAUAAGCCAAGAGUCACCUGGGGAGAGAGGUCACAACUGAGGAACCGUGUAAAGCAGGUGGGCAUGUGGACCUGUCUUUAGUGGACUUUUCUUGAUUAUUAAUUGAUGUAGAAAGAUGCAACCCACCGUGGGUGAUACCAUUCCCUAGACAGGGCACUCCUGAGUGUUUAAGAGUGAAGAAAGCUAGGUGAGAGCAAGCAAGUAGGCAGGCAAUCUGUGUGUAUUUGUUUCUCUCUGCUCUCGACUGUGACUGUGCGGUGACUAGUUGCUUAAGUUCCUGCCUCAACUUCCCUCCAUGAUGGACGGUGAUCUGUGAAUUGUAAGCCGAAUAAAUUCUUUCCUCUCUUGUG